UGACUAGCGGAGGCUAGGGGGGG
rfam:HIV-1 isolate 01AOSNS09 from Angola gag protein (gag) gene, partial cds.